rnacentral:tRNA from 1 species
GCCGGGGUGGCUCAGCUGGUUAGAGCGCACGGCUCAUAACCGUGAGAUCGCGGGUUCGAAUCCCGCCCCCGGC